rnacentral:tRNA from 1 species
AGUCUUAUAGUCAAAAUAAUGAUAUAAAAUUGCAAAUUUUAAGGUGUAAUUAGUACUAAGGCUU